UAGCUCAGUUGGUAGAGCAGUUGACUUUUAAUCAAUUGGUCGCAGGUUCGAAUCCUGCACGACCCACCACUAAGUCAGGUGGAAGUAGUAGUAAAACGUGAAGGAUAACGUUGCGUCAGCAACGGCCCGUAGGGCGAGGCGAAGCCGAGUCAUCCUGCACGACCCACCG
rnacentral:sRNA from 2 species